rnacentral:rRNA from 1 species
AGUGAACGCUGGCGGUAGGCCUAACACAUGCAAGUCGAACGGCAGCACAGUAAGAGCUUGCUCUUACGGGUGGCGAGUGGCGGACGGGUGAGGAAUACAUCGGAAUCUACUUUUUCGUGGGGGAUAACGUAGGGAAACUUACGCUAAUACCGCAUACGACCUACGGGUGAAAGCAGGGGAUCUUCGCACCUUGCGCGAUUGAAUGCGCCGAUGUCGGAUUAGCUAGUUGGCGGGGUAAAGGCCCACCAAGGCGACGAUCCGUAGCUGGUCUGAGAGGAUGAUCAGCCACACUGGAACUGAGACACGGUCCAGACGCCUACGGGAGGCAGCAGUGGGGAAUAUUGGACAAUGGGCGCAAGCCUGAUCCAGCCAUACCGCGUGGGUGAAGAAGGCCUUCGGGUUGUAAAGCCCUUUUGUUGGGAAAGAAAAGCAGCAGGUUAAUACCCCGCUGUUCUGACGGUACCCAAAGAAUAAGCACCGGCUAACUUCGUG